rnacentral:rRNA from 1 species
AUCAACUUUCGAUGGUAGGAUAGAGGCCUACCAUGGUGGUAACGGGUAACGGGGUGUUAGGGCACGACACCGGAGAGGGAGCCUGAGAAACGGCUACCACAUCCAAGGAUGGCAGCAGGCGCGCAAAUUACCCAAUCCCGACACGGGGAGGUAGUGACAAUAAAUAACAAUACGGGGUUCUUUCGGAUUUCGUAAUUGGAAUGAGUACAAUUUAAAUCUCUUAACGAGGAACAAUUGGAGGGCAAGUCUGGUGCCAGCAGCCGUGGUAAUUCCAGCUCCAAUAGCGUAUAUUAAAGUUGCUGCAGUUAAAAAGCUCGUAGUUGAAUUUCGGGACCAAUAUGUCGGUCGUGCCUCGGUACGUACUGGCAUCGUUGGUUUCUCCCUUCUGACGAACCAUGAUGUCAUUUAUUUGGUGUCGUGGGGAAUCAGGACUGUUACUUUGAAAAAAUUAGAGUGUUUAAAGCAGGCUCACGCUUGAAUACAUUAGCAUGGGAUAAUGAAAUAGGACGUUUGAUUCUAUUUUGUUGGUUUCUAGGAUCGACGUAAUGAUUAAUAGGGAUAGUUGGGGGCAUUAGUAUUCAAUUGUCAGAGGUGAAAUUCUUGGAUUUAUUGAAGACUAACUACUGCGAAAGCAUUUGCCAAGGAUGUUUUCAUUAAUCAAGAACGAAAGUUAGGGGAUCGAAGACGAUCAGAUACCGUCGUAGUCUUAACCAUAAACUAUGCCGACUAGGGAUCGGAUGAUGUUAAUUUUUUAAUGACUCAUUCGGCGCCUUACGGGAAACCAAAGUGUUUGGGUUC